AGCUUGCUGAGAUGAGUAUACUGGCGGAUGGGUGAGUAACACGUAGGUAAUCUGCCCUUAGGACAGGGAUAAGAUGGCUAACGCGAUGCUAAUACCUGAUGAAGCAACUGUUGAAUCAGAUGGUUGUUAAAGGCUGGCUUUCAGCUAGCGCCUGAGGAUGAGCCUGCGUCUCAUUAGCUAGUUGGUAGGGUAAUGGCCUACCAAGGCGACGAUGGGUAGCCGGCCUGAGAGGGUGAGCGGCCACACUGGGACUGAGAUACGGCCCAGACUCCUACGGGAGGCAGCAGUGAGGAAUAUUGCGCAAUGGCCGAAAGGUUGACGCAGCGACGCCGCGUGAGGGAUGAAGCUUUUAGGAGUGUAAACCUCUGUUAGGAGGGAAGAAUAAUGGCAAUUCGAUCAGGGUUGUCAGAUGACGGUACCUCCAGAGGAAGCCCCGGCUAACUCCGUGCCAGCAGCCGCGGUAAUACGGGGGGGGCUAGCGUUGUGCGGAAUUACUGGGCGUAAAGGGCGCGUAGGCGGGAUAGCAAGUCAGUGGUGCGAACUUGAGGCUUAA
rnacentral:rRNA from 1 species